rnacentral:rRNA from 1 species
AGAGUUUGAUCCUGGCUCAGGAUGAACGCUAGCGGCAGGCCUAAUACAUGCAAGUCGGACGGUAAAUGCCCCUUCGGGGGCAUGAGAGUGGCGGACGGGUGCGUAACGCGUAUGCAACCAGCCCCCGACGGGCGGACAGCCGGUGGAAACGCCGGAUGAUACGCCAUGUUCCCCGGGGAGGGCAUCCUUUCUGGGGCAAAGCGGAGACGCGGUCGGGGACGGGCAUGCGUGCCAUUAGCUAGUCGGCGGGGUGACGGCCCACCGAGGCGACGAUGGCUAGGGGAUCUGAGAGGACGGUCCCCCACACUGGUACUGAGACACGGACCAGACUCCUGCGGGAGGCAGCAGUAAGGGAUAUUGGGCAAUGGGGGGAACCCUGACCCAGCCCAUGCCGCGUGAGGUAUGAAGGCCCUACGGGUCGUAAGCCUCUUUUAUUCGGGGACAAGGACGGCGUCGGGAACGCUGUUUGAGGGUACCGAAGGAAUAAGCGUCGGCUAACUCCGUGCCAGCCGCCGC